rnacentral:rRNA from 1 species
UACAGAGGUCUCAAGCGUUGUUCGGAUUCAUUGGGCGUAAAGGGUGCGUAGGCGGCGCGGUAAGUCGGGUGUGAAAUCUCGGGGCCUAACUCCGAAACUGCAUUCGAUACUGCCGUGCUUGAGGACUGGAGAGGAGACUGGAAUUUACGGUGUAGCGGUGAAAUGCGUAGAUAUCGUAAGGAAGACCAGUGGCGAAGGCGGGUCUCUGGACAGUUCCUGACGCUGAGGCACGAAGGCCAGGGGAGCAAACGGG